AUACGGAGGGCGCAAGCGUUAUCCGGAAUCACUGGGUUUAAAGGGUGCGUAGGUGGCUUGAUAAGUCAGAGGUGAAAUCUUGCAGCUUAACUGUAAAAUUGCCUUUGAAACUGUUGAGCUUGAAUUAGGUUGAGGUUGGCGGAAUGUGACAUGUAGCGGUGAAAUGCAUAGAUAUGUCAUAGAACACCAAUUGCGAAGGCAGCUGACUAGACCUUAAUUGACGCUGAGGCACGAAAGCGUGGGGAGCGAACAGGAUUAGAAACCCUAGUAGUCC
rnacentral:rRNA from 1 species